UACGGAGGGUGCAAGCGUUGUCCGGAAUCACUGGGCGUAAAGGGCGCGUAGGCGGCUCAUGAAGGCUGUGGUGAAAGUCCGGGGCUCAACCUCGGAUCGGCCGUGGCGACUCGUGGGCUGGAGCACUGUAGAGGCGGGUGGAAUUCCGGGUGUAGCGGUGGAAUGCGUAGAGAUCCGGAAGAACACCGGUGGCGAAGGCGGCCUGCUGGGCAGUAGCUGACGGCUGAGGCGCGACAGCGGUGGGGAGCAAACAGG
rnacentral:rRNA from 1 species